rnacentral:rRNA from 1 species
AUUCCAGCUCCAAUAGCGUAUAUUAAAGUUGUUGCAGUUAAAAAGCUCGUAGUCGGAUUUUGGGUCGAGCGUGCCGGUCUGCCAUUGGGUAUGCACUGGUUUGCGCUUGGUCUUUUUGCGUGAGGCCUUGCGCGUGGUUUGUUCUGCGUGCUUGGUGCUCUGCACGUUUACUUUGAGAAAAUCAGAGUGUUCAAAGCAGGCCUUUGCCAUUGUAUGUGUUAGCAUGGGAUAAUGGAAUAGGACCUUGGUGCUAUUUUGUUGGUUUCGAACGCCGAGGUAAUGAUUAAUAGGGAUAGUCAGGGGCACUCGUAUUCCGUAGAGAGAGGUGAAAUUCUUAGACCCACGGAAGACGCACUACUGCGAAAGCAUUUGCCAGGGAUGUUUUCAUUA